rnacentral:rRNA from 1 species
ACGUAGGGAGCAAGCGUUGUUCGGAAUUAUUGGGCGUAAAGAGCGCGUAGGCGGUUCGGUAAGUCUGACGUGAAAUCCCAGAGCUUAACUCUGGAACUGCGUUGGAUACUGCCGAGCUUGAGUGUGGGAGAGGUGAGUGGAAUUCCCAGUGUAGAGGUGAAAUUCGUAGAUAUUGGGAGGAACACCCGUGGCGAAGGCGGCUCACUGGACCACAACUGACGCUGAGGCGCGAAAGCUAGGGUAGCAAACGGGAUUAGAUACCCCGGUAGUCCUAGCCGUAAACGAUGGGCACUAGGUGUUGGAGGUAUCGACCCCUCCAGUGCCGCAGCUAACGCAUUAAGUGCCCCGCCUGGGGAGUACGGUCGCAAGACUA